AGAGUUUGAUCAUGGCUCAGGACGAACGCUGGCGGCGUGCCUAAUACAUGCAAGUCGAGCGAGCGGAACUAACAGAUUUACUUCGGUAAUGACGUUAGGAAAGCGAGCGGCGGAUGGGUGAGUAACACGUGGGGAACCUGCCCCAUAGUCUGGGAUACCACUUGGAAACAGGCGCUAAUACCGG
rnacentral:rRNA from 1 species